GACGAACGCUGGCGGCGUGCUUAACACAUGCAAGUCGAACAGUGGCGAACGGGUGAGUAAUGCUUGGGAAUCUGGCUUAUGGAGGGGGAUAACGACGGGAAACUGUCGCUAAUACCGCGUACCAUAGGAUGAGCCCAAGUGGGAUUAGGUAGUUGGUGGGGUAAUGGCCUACCAAGCCGACGAUCUCUAGCUGGUCUGAGAGGAUGCACAGGAACACCGGGACUGAAGAACGGCCCGGACUCCUACGGGAGGCAGCAGUGGGGAAUAUGUGGCAAUGGGGGCAACCCUGACUCAGCCCUGCCGCGUGAAUGAAGAAGGCCUUCGGGUUGUAAAGUUCUUUCGGUGGCGAGGCGGUAAUCAAAGAAGAAGCACCGGCUAACUCCGUGCCAGCAGCCGCGGUAAUUC
rnacentral:rRNA from 1 species